CCAAGCAGAAAACCCGCGGACUUGUACAUACUCCCGGGGAGGAUGUGCGGGUCGUGGCCUCGUUGCCUCGCCUUCCAUUUUCCCCCUGCGAGCAGAUGCGCGCGGGCCUUCCGGGCAACGCGUUUCGUCUGCUCGUCAAACAACGAACCCCGGCGCAAAACGCGCCAAGGAAAAAUUGAACAAAGAGCGCACGUCCCUGCCCGUUUUCCGGGUGGUGUCGGCGUAYGCAAUCUUUCAUGUAACCAAACGACUCUCGGCAACGGAUAUCUCGGCUCUUGCAUCGAUGAAGAACGUAGCGAAAUGCGAUACUUGGUGUGAAUUGCAGAAUCCCGUGAACCAUCGAGUCUUUGAACGCAAGUUGCGCCUGAAGCCAUUAGGUUGAAGGCACGUCUGCCUGGGCGUCACGCAUUGCGUCACCCACUCCCCCGUGCCUGAGCGGGCAUGUUGGUGCGUGGGCGGAUAUUGGCCCCCCGUUCACAUCCGUGCUCGGUCGGCCUAAAAAGCGGGUCCCCAAUGACGGACAUCACGACGAGUGGUGGUUGCCAAACCGUCGCGUCGCGUCGUGCGUGCCAUCGUUUGUUG
rnacentral:rRNA from 1 species